rnacentral:rRNA from 1 species
AACGAACGCUGGCGGCAUGCCUAACACAUGCAAGUCGAACGAAGCCUUCGGGCUUAGUGGCGCACGGGUGCGUAACGCGUGGGAAUCUGCCCUUGGGUUCGGAAUAACAGUUAGAAAUGACUGCUAAUACCGAAUGACGUCUUCGGACCAAAGAUUUAUCGCCCAAGGAUGAGCCCGCGUCGGAUUAGCUAGUUGGUGAGGUAAAGGCUCACCAAGGCGACGAUCCGUAGCUGGUCUGAGAGGAUGAUCAGCCACACUGGGACUGAGACACGGCCCAGACUCCUACGGGAGGCAGCAGUGGGGAAUAUUGGACAAUGGGCGAAAGCCUGAUCCAGCAAUGCCGCGUGAGUGAUGAAGGCCUUAGGGUUGUAAAGCUCUUUUACCCGGGAUGAUAAUGACAGUACCGGGAGAAUAAGCCCCCGGCUAACUCCGUGCCAGCAGCCGCGGU